rnacentral:rRNA from 1 species
UACGUAGGGUGCAGGCGUUAAUCGGAAUUACUGGGCGUAAAGCGUGCGCAGGCGGUUUGCUAAGACAGGUGUGAAAUCCCCCGGGCUUAACCUGGGAACUGCGCUUGUUACUGGCAGGCUUGAGUGUGGCAGAGGGGGGUGGAAUUCCGCGUGUAGCAGUGAAAUGCGUAGAGAUGCGGAGGAACACCGAUGGCGAAGGCAGCCCCCCUGGGCUGACACUGACGCUCAGGCACGAAAGCGUGGGGAGCAAACAGG